rnacentral:lncRNA from 1 species
UGUGCAAAUUAGUUGUUUUAGGAAAUGUGUUUUUGAUUUGAAGUUAUGAUUUCCAUCUUAAGUUAGUAGUUGUACCUAGUUGUCUUGGUGUACUACUGAAUGUUGUGUUCAAUUGGUGUGAAUAGGUGUAAUUUACUUAGUUUAGUUGUGUGCUGGUGUGUUCAAGCUUGUGUUGUCAUGAAUUGCAAGUUUAGGUAUGCCUUUUGUGUCAAAAGUAUACCCUUGAGUUAGAGAGUUGGAAAGAUUUGGAAGUGGACACUUGAUUUGGCAUUCUUGCACUCAAUUUCACCACCUAUGGAUUUGAGCAAGUUUGUAUAGUGGAAAGACAUUGAUCUGGGCUGAAUUGAGUGUCAAAGAAAUGCCAAAACCCAUAAGUCAAAGUUGAGUAACCAAAUUUCAAGUCUGCAGAAUUGGCGCCCCAACGCCCCCAUAGGGCACCCAACGCCCUUGUUUGCUGCCUUCCUAGCCAAUUUGUCAUGCCCAAGCCCCUCUAGAGGGCGCCCGAGCGUGAAAGCUGCAAAAAAUUCAAAUCUGAGUGGGCUUGGACUGCACAAUGUUGGCCCAUUUCAAUGUUUUUCUAACCCUAGUGCUUCUCUCACUCUCUCACGCCCAAAACCUAGUGCCUCCUCCUACACCUCAUUCAACCAUUCCCUCACACUCUCCACUUUCACAGCUUCCCAUUCCCAACCACCAUGACCUCCCCUCUCACGCACACAUCAUUCUCCAUUAGAGUACUCACCAUCAUCAACCACCUCUACCCCAUUUUUCCCUGUCACCCAUUCCCUAAUUCACUCACCACCGCAACCCUAAUUCCCACUCACUCACUCACAAUCUUCCCUAACACAAACACCUAAAACCAAACCCCUUUAGUUUAUCCACCACACGUGGGUUACCAUUUGCGUUUGUUGUGCCAUCACGCUCUGUCGCCCUCACAAUCUCCACCCCACUUCGCUCCUAUUGUUUUGCCCUUACUCAUUCACAGUCUACUGCUGCACUCUCCACCAUUAACGGGCUGCAUUCACAACACUGCCGCAACCCUCUCCCUCAAGCCUUGGUUUUGACACUUCAAGAGCAAUUCUCCAACUCAAGUAGGUUGUCCCCUUUUACUUUUAUUGUCUCAUGUGUUGUUGUUUGUGGUUUAUGGUGCGUAAAUGUUCAUUGUCUAUAGUUAGCAUUGCCUAAUCUACCAUGUUUGUUUAACUGUCUAUGCCUACGCAUUUGAUAAUGCCCCUUUCAUU